rnacentral:tRNA from 1 species
GCGCCUGUAGCUCAGUGAAUAAAGUUUUUGUUUCCUAAGCAGUGGUCAUUGGUUCGACCCCUAUUUGGUACU